rnacentral:rRNA from 1 species
UGGGGAAUAUUGGACAAUGGGCGCAAGCCUGAUCCAGCCAUGCCGCGUGAGUGACGAAGGCCUUAGGGUUGUAAAGCUCUUUUGGCGGGGACGAUAAUGACGGUACCCGCAGAAUAAGCUCCGGCUAACUUCGUGCCAGCAGCCGCGGUAAUACGAAGGGAGUUAGCGUUGUUCGGAAUCACUGGGCGUAAAGCGCACGUAGGCGGAUUAUUAAGUCAGGGGUGAAAUCCCGGGGCUCAACCUCGGAACUGCCUCUGAUACUGAUAGUCUCGAGUCCGGAAGAGGUGGGUGGAAUUCCUAGUGUAGAGGUGAAAUUCGUAGAUAUUAGGAAGAACACCGGUGGCGAAGGCGGCCCACUGGUCCGGUACUGACGCUGAGGUGCGAAAGCGUGGGGAGCAAACAGGAUUAGAUACCCCCGUAGUCCCUGAGCGGGCUGGCAAGGCGCAU